rnacentral:rRNA from 1 species
GACGAACGCUGGCGGCGUGCUUAACACAUGCAAGUCGAACGAAGUGGCGAACGGGUGAGUAAUACGUGAGUAACCUGCCCUCCUUUUUGGGAUAAGCCUUGUAAACGGGGUCUAAUACCGAAUAAAGGGGGAUGGGCUCGCGGCCUAUCAGCUUGUUGGUGGGGUGAUGGCCUACCAAGGCGGUGACGGGUAGCCGGCCUGAGAGGGUGACCGGCCACAUUGGGACUGAGAUACGGCCCAGACUGUGACGGGAGGUAGCAGUGGGGGCUAUUGCACGAUGGGCGAAAGCUUGAUGCAGCGACGCCGCGUGGGGGAUGACGGCCUUCGGGUUGUAAACCGCUGUCAGCCAUGGCGCGGUAGUGGCAGAAGAAGCAGCGGCUAACUACGUGCCAGCCGCCGCGGUAAUAC